AGAAGAUUCCACGGUUUAAUCACACUCCAGCUCUUUUCAGAGCACCUUCUACGUGCCAGGGAUGGCAGAUGCUUAAGUACAUGCAGGCUGUGAAGUGAGUUGUAAAUAAGAUAUUGUUAUUAGGACUAUCCCUGAUAAGAAAGGCAUGUCCUCUGCACCUCUAAUCCUGGGCCACUGCUAUGCAUCCCCACUUAGAUGACCGACUGCAGUCGCUCAGAGCAAUUGUAGAGGAUGGCAAGGAAUCAACCUAUUUGGAUGAAGACGUUUUGUGGGCGGGCAGAGAAGAAAACUCUUGAGAGAAGGAAGCAUUGCCAGGGGCAUGGGAGCCUACAACUGCUGGUGCCUCAGUCCCAUCUUUGACCAAUUCAUUCAACAAACAUUUAUCAAGGAAUGUCUUUGUGCCAGACCCCAUCCUAGGCAUGGGGCAUGCAAGAAGGACAGGUCCCUGUACCCAUGGAACCCCCGUGCAGGAAGCAAAACAGGAAAUGAACAAUUAAACAAAUACACAGUGUAAUUUCAGAUCAUACUAAAUGGUGGAAAAUAAAGUGUGUUGAUGUGAUAGCAAGGGACUGGGGACUAGGGAGCGUCCGGGAUUGCUGUCUGUUAGGAGAUCAUAUUUGAGUUGAGACUCGAAUGCAGAGAAGGAAUCUACUGAGCGAAAACUAGUGGAAGAAGCACUUCUGUUCAACAUAGCAGUGGAACUCCUAG
rnacentral:lncRNA from 1 species